GAUUAACGCUAGCGGCAGGCCUAAUACAUGCAAGUCGAACGGGAUUCAAAGUAGCAAUAUUUUGAUGAGAGUGGCGCACGGGUGAGUAACACGUAUGCAAUUUACCUUUAACUGGGGGAUAGCCCUCCGAAAGGAGGAUUAAUACCGCAUAAUAUAUUGAAAUGGCAUCAUUUUAAUAUUAAAACCUACGGGGUUAAAGAUGAGCAUGCAUCCGAUUAGCUAGUUGGUGUGGUAACGGCUCACCAAGGCAACGAUCGGUAGGGGUCUGAGAGGAUGAUCCCCCACACUGGUACUGAGACACGGACCAGACUCCUACGGGAGGCAGCAGUAAGGAAUAUUGGACAAUGGAGGCAACUCUGAUCCAGCCAUGCCGCGUGAAGGAUUAAGGCCCUAUGGGUUGUAAACUUCUUUAGACGGGACAAACCCCUUUACGUGUAAAGGGUUGAUGGUACUGUCAGAAUAAGCAUCGGCUAACUUCGUGCCAGCAGCCGCGGUAAU
rnacentral:rRNA from 1 species